GACGAACGCUGGCGGCGUGCCUAAUACAUGCAAGUCGAGCGAAUGGAUUAAGAGCUUGCUCUUAUGAAGUUAGCGGCGGACGGGUGAGUAACACGUGGGUAACCUGCCCAUAAGACUGGGAUAACUCCGGGAAACCGGGGCUAAUACCGGAUGACAUUUUGAACCGCAUGGUUCGAAAUUGAAAGGCGGCUUCGGCUGUCACUUAUGGAUGGACCCGCGUCGCAUUAGCUAGUUGGUGAGGUAACGGCUCACCAAGGCAACGAUGCGUAGCCGACCUGAGAGGGUGAUCGGCCACACUGGGACUGAGCCACGGCCCAGACUCCUACGGGAGGCAGCAGUAGGGAAUCUUCCGCAAUGGACGAAAGUCUGACGGAGCAACGCCGCGUGAGUGAUGAAGGCUUUCGGGUCGUAAAACUCUGUUGUUAGGGAAGAACAAGUGCUAGUUGAAUAAGCUGGCACCUUGACGGUACCUAACCAGAAAGCCACGGCUAACUACGUGCCAGCCGCCGCAGUAA
rnacentral:rRNA from 1 species